rfam:Bacteroides eggerthii 1_2_48FAA genomic scaffold supercont1.3, whole genome shotgun sequence.
GCACGUUCCGGAUCUUUUCCAAUCCGGCAGCUAACAGUAAGGCGGUGGGCGGCUGGUGAUUAUGGGCAUAACAUUGGCAAUGCUCUUUUCUCAAGCUCCGUGCGGACUGUUUUUCCGCUACCGUGCAUUUUAUCUCCGUGCGCACAAGGGCGCAAUUAUGGCAUUAUUCUUGCACGUCCUUUUCAGUGGCGGUAUUCUCAAUACUCCCAGCGACUUGCAAAAGUCUUGACGUAUUUCCGGCACUCGGAAUAAAUACGAUUUAUCCCGUUCCAUAAAUUUCCCUACUUUCGUAGGUUGGCAAUACUGGUAUUAUUGCCCCGUGCGAAGCGUGGUUAUUUAACGCACUCUUUAAGCGUACCUAAACGCACACGGUGUUGUUUCGGGUGUUACCCUUUGACGGCUCAACAACUCACUUUCGUGUAAACGCCGUUUUUGUU